CGGUUAGCUGCACGCUUGUGG
rnacentral:misc_RNA from 1 species